UUUGAUUCAGGAAUUGACCAGUAUGAUCAGACUCACAGGCAGUGAGUGUUAGGACUUCCAUUACCAUCCAUUACUGGGGAUAUCGAAGCCAUUUCUGCUUUUGUUGUAAGAGAGGAGAAACGAUUUUAGUCAAUCACUAUGACGGCAAUCUGUGAUUGAGAGAAGCGAACUCUAUCCCGACACAGAAACAAAUAUUGACAGAUAUACAGCAGGAACUUAAUUUGCACUUUCCCCGUGAUUUCAAAGUAGCCAGAAUAUGGCUGUUAUCUCGAAGCAAAGAACACUUCCUAUUUUCAAGUAACAUGUAAUUUACGACUGCCACAGUUAACCAUUUUUGCAACUACCCUUGUACAUCAUUUCACUUGUAGAGAACAACAAACAAGUACCAGGAAGGUGAACUUCAAAGUCUGUAUAUAUGUGUAUACUUUCACCACUUUCAGUUUCACAUGAAAUUAAUGAAUUUUCUUGAGAAUAUUCACGAUUUAUGGGGAAAAAUCCAAACUAUACAUUUGUUGAUAUCAUAUGUCGCCACUGCACUUCAUUUUAAUCAAUUGUCUUUCAUCUUGUAAAUAUCUUUCAUUCAUAUUAUCAUUUGUUUUGUUUCCUAAUGAUGUCACAUUUGUCACUAUAAGAAAUCGCAAAUUUACCUGAGUAAAUAGAUUGUGUGAUACACAUGUUUUUGCAUGAAUUUUAUAUAUAAGUUCAAUUAAAAUUCAAUUUAACAUUCUU
rnacentral:misc_RNA from 1 species